rnacentral:rRNA from 1 species
GGAUUAGAUACCCUGGUAGUCCACGCCGUAAACGAUGAGUACUAGCCGUUGGGCCCCAUGAGGGCUUAGUGGCGCAGCUAACGCGUUAAGUACUCCGCCUGGGGAUUACGGUCGCAAGACUAAAACUCAAAGGAAUUGACGGGGGCCCGCACAAGCGGUGGAGCAUGUGGUUUAAUUCGAUGCAACGCGAAAAACCUUACCUACUCUUGACAUCCCUGGAAGAAAUUAGAGAUAAUUUUGUGCCUUCGGGAACCAGGUGACAGGUGCUGCAUGGCUGUCGUCAGCUCGUGUUG